rnacentral:lncRNA from 1 species
AAAGCGGACGAUCAGGCCGAACCCAGAGCGUGCAUGCUCCCUUCGUGUCCCUUGUCCUAAGUUAAUGAGUAAACUUUGGUUAGGACGUUUGGCUUGUGAUAUUUCGGUGGCGGACACCCAACGUCUUAUCCUUCACUUAAACUUAAUCCUGCAGACCCAGCACCGGGGCAGGUUAGCCUUUUCUUCUCCAAGCUCACCCGCCCUCGCCCCUAUAAACUACCAAUGGACAUCCUCUGUGUUGGUCACUGGGAAGCACUGAAGGCUCGAAGGUGAUCUUUGAAAUAGCAUGGAGGAUUGCAACGCGUGGACUGCACGUGCGUAGCAGAGCUAAGCGGUUUGCUUAAGUGCAGUUAUCUUUGUUAUUGGUCAAAUUUAAGAAUGAAUAUUAAUCUCCAUUUUAUGGAAGGGAAGUUGAUAACCACAAUUCAGUGGUACGCAGAGGUCACCAGGCCAAUAGAUAUUACAGCGACGAUUUCUACCCUAGAUGGGCAGAUUACAAAGUGGGAAUAGUUAACCACUUUAUCUAUAUCUAUAUAUCUAUAUAGAUAUUCUCUACUCCCCCAGAAUCUUUUUCACAAACAUUUCUAUGUAAAUAGAAUAACUUCAUAGAGAAAGUAAAACACUCUUACAAUAAAAAAAUACAAAAAAAUGGAAGCAUCUCCUGCCCUUGCAGAAAAAUAUGAAACGCUUUGAGCCUCUCUCUUCUGACGACAUGCCCAGCUGUAUCACAGAGGAGAGUGUUAAGUCAGAACGGCGAUCUCCAUGACGACGGAGGGGAGCGGCUACCAAAAUGACCUUCCAAAGGACGGCCACCUCUGAAUGCUGUGAUACAGUGGUAACAUGGGAAAAUAAAGUCUAGCUAUUAGGAAUGAACUCUGUGAGGAGAAAGGAACCUUUAUUUAGGAAUUGUGUGAGAGAAAAGAGAGGUACAAGGAAAAUACAUUUCGAAGAUCUAACGACCACCACUUAUCUUAUCUCAAGACAAUAUUCAACUCUGUCAAAAUCCUAACAGUAAAGGAAAAAGAAUCAUUUUGUAGAAAUCUUCAUUCCUGUAUAUAAUCUGUAUGAAUGAGAUACAUUAGUGGGACACCGAUAGCUAACAUUGGAAGCAAUGUUGCAAUGGCUUGGAUGCAGAUCUUCACUACACACUUGAAAGCCGGCUUGGUAACUAGAAUACUGCCCUCAGAGCACCCAUGUAGUUUGUUUAAUUGCACCCAUAGAAGUUCUGUAGGAUGAGGCAGCUGGUCUUACAGAAUGCUCACCCACCCUCCUCAUAACCUUUCCCUCGGCUGCCAACCAUCAUCUUGUGUUUGGUAAGAGUCGGAAAAUGAGGAAGACCAUUGGGAAGACAUGAACCUUUGCUGUCACCCGUCUAAUAGCUGCUGGCCACCUCUGGACGGUUGAGGGAGGCCAACGCCUAUUUGCUAAGGUGCUGAUUGAGACUCUGGAACACCAGUCUCUUCCCUUAAUAUAAAACCAACUUGGAGCCAAGUCAUUUAAGACCUUUUGAAAACUGACUCUAAAAUAGCGUGUGAUAUCUUGAGGAAGAAAAUAAACCAUGAUUUAGUAAAUGAGAUGAUGCACGGGGAAAGGGCAGCCUUAUAUGGUGUUCUUACAGAGAGAGAGAGGGCAUGGUUGGUAAAGCAAGGCCAGAAAAAAAAAAAACCCCUUGGCACAUCCACAGUCCCAGCUGGAAAUGGACAUCUCCGUGUCUGCAGCCCAGUGAGUGCCACCACCAGGUCUGACGAAUGGGUGGAGGCCUCCUCACUGAACUUGAGAAAUGGACGGCCUACUAAGCAAUGAUGCUCUUGGGGGAAUGACGGUGUCAUUUCUUUCUUCUUUAUAAAAUACUUACUAA